rnacentral:tRNA from 1 species
GCCUGGCUGGCUCAGUCAGUGGAGCAUGUGACUCUUGAUCUCAGGGGUUGUGAGUUCAAGUCCCACAUUGGGCA